GGGAAUGUGGCUUGGUGGUAGAGCGCUUGCCUAGCAUGCAUGAAGCCCUGGGUUCAAUUCCUCAGCACCA
rnacentral:tRNA from 1 species